UCGUCUCUUCCAAGAACUCAGUUUCUUCUUUGAAUCAACUUAAAGUCUUUUAGUUUAAUUUAGUCAUUAGAAUAAUUAGCUUCAAAAACCAAAUCUUUUAGCCUAAACCGUGUUGACGAAUUCGAGUAGAGGCAUAGCGAGAGGGACCUUCGGACACAAACGACACUUUUGUUGUCGGAAUAACUUCGCAGUUGUUCGGGCGAUCAGUACCCUUCAAGAGAUAAAGUCCAUCACUCAGCUCACCACUGCAAAUCGUCCUCCGCGUCCUCACUUCCUGCAACACACAACCAGUUGAGGAAAAUUUUAUUUCACACUGCCGGUCAUGAGUAACUUGAUGAACAGAUAGGAGGUUGCAAUCUAGUUUUGGUACAUAUAGUACAUGGCCAAGGGUGAGAUCCUUUGUCACCCGUACCAUACCAAUUCCUUCAACCGAUGCAAUGGUCCCAUAAGCUAUACGAACCCCUGAGGUUCUUGGAUACGACUAUAGGUUAUGAAGAAGUUCUUUACAACUAGUCAUAUUAUCAAUGACACCUGAAUCUAUCAUCCAUAUAUUUCUAGAAUUCUGCUGUGAGGUAUAAGCAUGAGAAAUACCUUGUUUUUCAAAUAGUCUGGUGAGACAGGCCUUUGGUUUUCACUUGGCUUUCUCUGCUUGAAGAACCGAAAUAAAGAUUCAUAUGAUUCCAUUGAGGAGAUAAGCCAGAAACGGGCUUGAUUGUCGUUAUCGUCCCACUAGGUGUAAGCAGUGGCGUCGGAUUCUGCUGGUUUGAUUGCCUUACCAGUCAGAUGUACUUCCUUGUAAUGAACAUCCGGAUAGAUUGUGAUCACUAGAGGUAAUUCUCCCCCAUUGAAUUAUCUAAUGGUGAUUCCUCCAGAGCCUGGUUUGUUUCCCGAGCCAUUGUUUGAUGUAGCCAUACCCUCGGUUGCAGAGUCGGCCGAAAUGAUGAUAGAGGUAGAAGAGUGUUUAUGAGAUUUUGGAGAAGAAGGUUGAGAAGAAGAUGAAUCCCCGUCUGUGUUCAUGCCAGAAGAAGUAGGACAUCACCUGCGGCAUCAAAAGCAAGCAACAAUAUCAAAGUUAGGAGAACACGAUAGGAUUUAGAAUUCCUUUCAUUUCGUCUUAUUGAUUUCUGAGUUGUAAAGGAGAUAUAUAGGCUAGAUAAGAGAGUCUUACCAUAAUUGAAAUAUACCCUAAAUCUAAU
rnacentral:lncRNA from 1 species